GAUGAGCGCUGGCGGCGUGCUUAACACAUGCAAGUCGAACGAAGCAUUUAAGACAGAUUACUUCGGUUUGAAGUCUUUUAUGACUGAGUGGCGGACGGGUGAGUAACGCGUGGGUAACCUGCCUCAUACAGGGGGAUAGCAGCUGGAAACGGCUGGUAAUACCGCAUAAGCGCACGGUAUCGCAUGAUACAGUGUGAAAAACUCCGGUGGUAUGAGAUGGACCCGCGUCUGAUUAGCUGGUUGGUGAGGUAACGGCCCACCAAGGCGACGAUCAGUAGCCGACCUGAGAGGGUGACCGGCCACAUUGGGACUGAGACACGGCCCAGACUCCUACGGGAGGCAGCAGUGGGGAAUAUUGCACAAUGGAGGAAACUCUGAUGCAGCGACGCCGCGUGAGUGAAGAAGUAGUUCGCUAUGUAAAGCUCUAUCAGCAGGGAAGAUAGUGACGGUACCUGACUAAGAAGCUCCGGCUAAAUACGUGCCAGCAGCCGCGGUAAUACGUAUGGAGCAAGCGUUAUCCGGAUUUACUGGGUGUAAAGGGAGUGUAGGUGGCCAGGCAAGUCAGAAGUGAAAGCCCGGGGCUCAACCCCGGGACUGCUUUUGAAACUGCAGGGCUAGAGUGCAGGAGGGGCAAGUGGAAUUCCUAGUGUAGCGGUGAAAUGCGU
rnacentral:rRNA from 1 species